AUCUUAUCUGCUUCCCAAUUGCUCUGCGCCAUGCUAUACAACUUCAAAGGCUCACUUCACACAGUUCGAACAAUCAGUUAAUCGCACUUCCACUGAAAAUGAAGUCGUGCCACAAAAAAACGCGAAUCGAUCAGAACAAUCGAGGCACUCAAGGUUUAAAAUUCUAAAACCCUAAUUUCAAGAAGUAUUGAUAUACAAGGACUUAAAUGCAACUGUUAUAGAGAUCAAGCAAUUCAUUGAUUAUAUCUUCCCGUCAAAAAUCCUAAUUCAAAACUAAAUUGAAAGCAAAAAUCAAAUUAGCAAAACUCACAGAAAUAAAACAAGAUCGUCACUAAUAAAUUCAGCUCCAUUAAAAGAUAUCAAUUCCAUACACGUGUUCCUCAAGUCACUUCCGAAUGUCCAGUCUAACCUUUAGAGCUUCGA
rnacentral:lncRNA from 1 species